ACAUCUAAGUACCCCGAGGAAAAGAAAUCAACCGAGAUUCCCCCAGUAGCGGCGAGCGAACGGGGAGGAGCCCAGAGCCUGAAUCAGCAUGUGUGUUAGUGGAAGCGUCUGGAAAGGCGCGCGAUACAGGGUGACAGCCCCGUACACAAAAGCGCAUGUGCUGUGAGCUCGAUGAGUAGGGCGGGACACGUGGUAUCCUGUCUGAAUAUGGGGGGACCAUCCUCCAAGGCUAAAUACUCCUGACUGACCGAUAGUGAACCAGUACCGUGAGGGAAAGGCGAAAAGAACCCCGGCGAGGGGAGUGAAAAAGAACCUGAAACCGUGUACGUACAAGCAGUGGGAGCACCCUUUGGGGUGUGACUGCGUACCUUUUGUAUAAUGGGUCAGCGACUUAUAUUCUGUAGCAAGGUUAACCGUAUAGGGGAGCCGGAGGGAAACCGAGUCUUAAUUGGGCGUUAAGUUGCAGGGUAUAGACCCGAAACCCGGUGAUCUAGCCAUGGGCAGGUUGAAGGUUGGGUAACACUAACUGGAGGACCGAACCGACUAAUGUUGAAAAAUUAGCGGAUGACCUGUGGCUGGGGGUGAAAGGCCAAUCAAACCGGGAGAUAGCUGGUUCUCCCCGAAAGCUAUUUAGGUAGCGCCUCGUGAAUUCAUCUCCGGGGGUAGAGCACUGUUUCGGCUAGGGGGCCAUCCCGGCUUACCAACCCGAUGCAAACUGCGAAUACCGGAGAAUGUUAUCACGGGAGACACACGGCGGGUGCUAACGUCCGUCGUGAAGAGGGAAACAACCCAGACCGCCAGCUAAGGUCCCAAAGUCAUGGUUAAGUGGGAAACGAUGUGGGAAGGCCCAGACAGCCAGGAUGUUGGCUUAGAAGCAGCCAUCAUUUAAAGAAAGCGUAAUAGCUCACUGGUCGAGUCGGCCUGCGCGGAAGAUGUAACGGGGCUAAACCAUGCACCGAAGCUGCGGCAGCGACGCUGAUGCGUUGUUGGGUAGGGGGAGCGUUCUGUAAGCCUGUGAAGGUGUGUCGUGAGGCAUGCUGGAGGUAUCAGAAGUGCGAAUGCUGACAUAAGUAACGAUAAAGCGGGUGAAAAGCCCGCUCGCCGGAAGACCAAGGGUUCCUGUCCAACGUUAAUCGGGGCAGGGUGAGUCGACCCCUAAGGCGAGGCCGAAAGGCGUAGUCGAUGGGAAACGGGUUAAUAUUCCCGUACUUGGUGUUACUGCGAAGGGGGGACGGAGAAGGCUAUGUUGGCCGGGCGACGGUUGUCCCGGUUUAAGCGUGUAGGCUGGUUUUCCAGGCAAAUCCGGAAAAUCAAGGCUGAGGCGUGACGACGAGGCACUACGGUGCUGAAGCAACAAAUGCCCUGCUUCCAGGAAAAGCCUCUAAGCAUCAGGUAACAUCAAAUCGUACCCCAAACCGACACAGGUGGUCAGGUAGAGAAUACCAAGGCGCUUGAGAGAACUCGGGUGAAGGAACUAGGCAAAAUGGUGCCGUAACUUCGGGAGAAGGCACGCUGACACGUAGGUGAAGUGAUUUACUCAUGGAGCUGAAGUCAGUCGAAGAUACCAGCUGGCUGCAACUGUUUAUUAAAAACACAGCACUGUGCAAACACGAAAGUGGACGUAUACGGUGUGACGCCUGCCCGGUGCCGGAAGGUUAAUUGAUGGGGUCAGCGCAAGCGAAGCUCCUGAUCGAAGCCCCGGUAAACGGCGGCCGUAACUAUAACGGUCCUAAGGUAGCGAAAUUCCUUGUCGGGUAAGUUCCGACCUGCACGAAUGGCGUAAUGAUGGCCAGGCUGUCUCCACCCGAGACUCAGUGAAAUUGAACUCGCUGUGAAGAUGCAGUGUACCCGCGGCAAGACGGAAAGACCCCGUGAACCUUUACUAUAGCUUGACACUGAACAUUGAGCCUUGAUGUGUAGGAUAGGUGGGAGGCUUUGAAGUGUGGACGCCAGUCUGCAUGGAGCCGACCUUGAAAUACCACCCUUUAAUGUUUGAUGUUCUAACGUGGACCCGUUACCCGGGUUGCGGACAGUGUCUGGUGGGUAGUUUGACUGGGGCGGUCUCCUCCUAAAGAGUAACGGAGGAGCACGAAGGUUGGCUAAUCCUGGUCGGACAUCAGGAGGUUAGUGCAAUGGCAUAAGCCAGCUUGACUGCGAGCGUGACGGCGCGAGCAGGUGCGAAAGCAGGUCAUAGUGAUCCGGUGGUUCUGAAUGGAAGGGCCAUCGCUCAACGGAUAAAAGGUACUCCGGGGAUAACAGGCUGAUACCGCCCAAGAGUUCAUAUCGACGGCGGUGUUUGGCACCUCGAUGUCGGCUCAUCACAUCCUGGGGCUGAAGUAGGUCCCAAGGGUAUGGCUGUUCGCCAUUUAAAGUGGUACGCGAGCUGGGUUUAGAACGUCGUGAGACAGUUCGGUCCCUAUCUGCCGUGGGCGCUGGAGAACUGAGGGGGGCUGCUCCUAGUACGAGAGGACCGGAGUGGACGCAUCACUGGUGUUCGGGUUGUCAUGCCAAUGGCACUGCCCGGUAGCUAAAUGCGGAAGAGAUAAGUGCUGAAAGCAUCUAAGCACGAAACUUGCCCCGAGAUGAGUUCUCCCUGAGACUUAGAGUCUCCUGAAGGAACGUUGAAGACGACGACGUUGAUAGGCCGGGUGUGUAAGCGCAGCGAUGCGUUGAGCUAACCGGUACUAAUGAACCGUGAGGCUUAACCUU
rnacentral:rRNA from 1 species